rnacentral:rRNA from 1 species
GAUGAACGCUGGCGGCGUGCCUAAUACAUGCAAGUCGAGCGAACAGACGAGGAGCUUGCUCCUCUGACGUUAGCGGCGGACGGGUGAGUAACACGUGGAUAACCUACCUAUAAGACUGGGAUAACUUCGGGAAACCGGAGCUAAUACCGGAUAAUAUAUUGAACCGCAUGGUUCAAUAGUGAAAGACGGUUUUGCUGUCACUUAUAGAUGGAUCCGCGCCGCAUUAGCUAGUUGGUAAGGUAACGGCUUACCAAGGCAACGAUGCGUAGCCGACCUGGGAGGGUGAUCAGCCACACUGGAACGGAGACAGGGUCCAGACUCCUAAGGGAGGCAGAAGUGGGGAAUUUUGGACAAUGGGCGAAAGUUGGACGAAGCCAGACCGGGUGGGGGAUGAAGGUCUUCGGAUCGUAAACCUUUUUUAUGGGGAAAAAAAAAAUGGGAAUGAAAAAAGCCCCGUUUUGACGGUACCUAAAAAAAAAGCAACGGCUAACUCCGUG